GCUUAAUGCAUGCAAGUCGAGCGAUGAGGUCUCCUUCGGGGGGCACAUCAGCGGCAGACGGGUGAGUAACACGUAGGUAACCUACCCCAGAGACAGGGAUAACCCUAGGAAACGAGGGCUAAUACCGGAUGACCUCCGGAAGGAGGAAAGGCUCAGGCGCUCUGGGAGGGGCUUGCGGCCCAUCAGCUAGUUGGUAGGGUAAAGGCCUACCAAGGCGAAGACGGGUAGGGGGUGUGAGAGCACGGCCCCCCACAAUGGGACUGAAACACGGCCCAUACUCCUACGGGAGGCAGCAGCAGGGAAUAUUGCACAAUAGGCGAAAGCCUGAUGCAGCGACGCCGCGUGAGUGAAGAAGGCCUUCGGGUCGUAAAGCUCUUUUGUAGGGGAGGAGGAAGGACGGUACCCUAAGAAGAAGCGUCGGCUAACUACGUGCCAGCAGCCGCGGUAAGACGUAGGACGCGAGCGUUAUCCGGAAUUACUGGGCGUAAAGGGCCAGCAGGCGGCUUGGUAAGUUGUGCGUGAAAGCCUCGUGCUCAACGCGAGGAAGCCGGACAAUACUGUCAAGCUAGAGGGCAUCAGAGGGGAGUGGAAUUCCCGGAGUAGCGGUAAAAUGCGCAGAUAUCGGGAGGAACACCGAUGGCGAAGGCAGCUCCCUGGGAUGCACCUGACGCUAAGAGGCGAAAGCUAGGGGAGCGAACAGGAUUAGAGACCCUGGUAGUCCUAGCUGUAAACGCUGGGUGCUAGGUGUGGGGCGUAGAAGUUCCGUGCCGGAGCAAACGCGAUAAGCACCCCGCCUGGGAAUUACGGUCGCAAGGCUAAUACUCAAACGAAUUGACGGGGGCCCCGCACAAGCAGCGGAGCGUGUGGUUCAAUUCGAUGCUACACGAAGAACCUUACCUGGGUUUGACAUGUACGUGGUACGAAGGCGAAAGCCUAAGGACCCUUCGGGGAGCGUACACAGGUGCUGCAUGGCUGUCGUCAGCUC
rnacentral:rRNA from 1 species